GAAGUGAAAAAUAGUGGUGACCUGUCGUGGAACAAUCCCAUUGAAGAAGAUAACAGUGGUUACCCAGACCUCAUUGCGAAGGGGCUCCCAUAACAGUUCAAGCUUCAGGCCCCAAAAAUAUAGGUCCGCCACUGUCUAC